rnacentral:rRNA from 1 species
GACGAACGCUGGCGGCGUGCUUAACACAUGCAAGUCGAACGGAAAGGCCCUGCUUUUGUGGGGUGCUCGAGUGGCGAACGGGUGAGUAACACGUGAGUAACCUGCCCUUGACUUUGGGAUAACUUCAGGAAACUGGGGCUAAUACCGGAUAGGAGCUCCUGCUGCAUGGUGGGGGUUGGAAAGUUUCGGCGGUUGGGGAUGGACUCGCGGCUUAUCAGCUUGUUGGUGGGGUAGUGGCUUACCAAGGCUUUGACGGGUAGCCGGCCUGAGAGGGUGACCGGCCCCAAUGGGACUGGGGAACGGCCCCGGCUCCUACCGGAGGGAAGAGGGGGGAAUAUUGCACAAAGGGCGGAAGCCUGAUGCAGCAACGCCGCGUGCGGGAUGACGGCCUUCGGGUUGUAAACCGCUUUCGCCUGUGACGAAGCGUGAGAGACGGUAAUGGGUAAAGAAGCACCGGCUAACUACGUG